ensembl:lncRNA novel transcript
AAUUUGCCUGGGAGCAAGAAGCCAAUGGCUAAAAAAUCAUCAUCCCAGAGAAGAGAGAGGCAGGAAUUUCUCUGCAAGCCAGAGAGAGAUGAACAUCAGACAUCUGGAAAGAAAAGCUGAGAAUUCUAAACAGUAAAGAGUAGAGAUGAGGUUUCACUAUGUUGGUUGGGCUGGUCUCAAACUCCUGACUUCAAAUGAUCCACCUGCCUUGGCCUCCCAAAAUGCUGGGUUUACAGGCGUGAGCCACCAUGCCCAGCCACCACUGGCAUUAUGGAGUCUCACUCUGUCACCCGGGCUGGAGUGCAGGGGCAGGAUCUCAGCUCACUGCAACCUCCACCUCCCGGGUCCAAACAGUUCUCCUGCCUCAGCCUUCUGAGUAGCUGGGACUACAGGCAUCUGGUAUCAUUGAGCUUGGAAUGGCCUCUUCAAAAACUAACUCAAGAGGAUUUCUGACUCUCUCUAACCUGCUCCAUACCCUAAGUUCCCACACCCGAAAACUCCUGCCUUUGGAGUGCAGCACUCGGCUUUGUUGAAUAUAUUUUUAGAGACAAUAUUCCUGGAGA